rnacentral:lncRNA from 10 species
GUAACAGGUUGAGAGCGGCCACUUGGCCGGGGGCGCCGGCUUCGGAGGCGGGAGGGAGGUGGAGGAAGGGAAGGCAGCUGCAGGGCCGACCUGCGGGGUGGGCGUGAGGCCGGGGGAUUGGGGCCGCAGGGGUUCGGCCUGGAGGAGCGGCGUGGGGGCGCCGGGGCCCUGAUUCCAUCCUGGGCGGGUCGGCCCCGCAGCCGCUGCGCUCGGAACCCCCUAGGCGCCCCGCAGUACCCGGCGUCCUUCCUGCCUCCUCCUCGCCCCUGUCCUCCGUCCGAGCCCCAGUCCCGCCGACCCUGCCGGCGCCUCCGCCCUCCCGCCCUCCCGCCCUCGGUUUCCCACGACCUCGGCGCGACGCGCGCGGGAUCCAGUGGAGACUGCUUUCCCAUAGGCCGCCAUCCAGGGCGGGGAAGGGAGCGGACCCUCCCGGCUCCAGGUGCCUGGGCCCCCGGCGGCCUGCGGAGGCCUCGCCCCACGCCACCCGCCCACUGGCCUCGUCUUCGCGCGGGGAGAAAAGCAGCCUGAUUCGGAGGAACGGGUUGCUUGGGGCGGCUCCCAGCUCGAGUUGUGGGCCCCGCCGCGGGUGCCCUUCGGAAACGCGCUGACACCAGGCGAAGCCGCCUCUGCCCGGACGCAGCCCGACACUUGGCCCGCGGGGUUCCCCGGGACGCCUGAGAGUAAUGGGCGCGAGGGGGAAAGCCGAACGGCCUCCCUGUGCCCGGCGCAGGCGGUGCCCCCUAGCUGGGUUCGCCGCGGCGGCGCUGCGAGCCCCCGACACUGAGGACUUUUGGUCCAACAGUCCGACGGGGCCCGGUGCGCCGUUCCCUCCGCCCUCUCCCCGCUCCCCGGCCCGCGCGUCUUGGAGGGUGGGUGAAUUGUCGGAAGCACUCUACGCCUGGCCAACCCAAACCAGGAACCUCCGCACCAAACAGCCCACGUUGCUGCUGCUCUGGGGUUUUAACGGCCAAGGGAGACUGGAGAAGGGGUGUUCUGCCUUCCCAUUCUCUUAGGCCCGUCCACUCCCCAUCCCCACAGUUUGGAAGUGGCCUUUUCUGAGGACUCCAGCGCAAAGCAUGUUUCUCCUUUUGAGCUGCGGAAGCCUUGCUUGUUCCCGCCAUUGGGAGGGCAUUCCAUCAUCUGCAGCUGCCUUCCUCGGUGGGCCUUGUCCCUUAGCGUCCACCUAGGGGACAUUCUAAGCUUCUUGAGACCUGCUUGUCCACCCCAACAUGUCUCAGCAUAUGGCUGUGCCCUAAGGGGUCUUUGAGGGCAUUUUAGGAGGUGAGCGGCGCCCCUACCUGGGCUCCGCGGGGCCGAUUCGGUUUGCCCUUUGCUGGCAUGUCAGUGAAUUAACUGCUGUCCUUGGGAUGACCUGCCCUAUGAUUUGGCCUCUGGAGCAUCCCGGGUGUGUAUUUCAGAACUCCUCCCAUCUUAUCCACCUGCUGAAGGCCUGGCCCCCUGAUAUGGUUUGGCUCUGUUUCCCCACCCAAAUCUCACCUUGAAUUUUAAUAAUCCCCACGUGUCAUGGGCGGGACCAGGUGGAGGUAAUUGAAUCAUGGAGGUGGUUUCCUGAACGCUGCUCUCGUGACAGUGAGUUCACAAGAUUUUUUUUUUUAACGGAGUAUCACUCUGUCACUCAGGCUGGAGUGCAGUGGCGCGAUCUUGGUUCACUGCAACCUCUGCCUCCCGGGUUCAAGAGAUUCUCCUGCCUCAGCCUCCCGAGUAGCUGGGAUUACAGGUGCGCGCCAUCACGCCCGGCUAAUGUGUAUUUUUAGUAGAGAAAGGGUUUCACCAUGUUGGUUAGGCUGGUCUGGAACUCCUGACCUUGUGAUCUGCCUGCCUCGGCCUCCCAAAGUGCUGGGAUUACACGCGUGAGCCACUGUGCCCAGCCGAUCUGAUGCUUUUAUAAAGGGCUUUCCCCGUCCCCCUUCCUCUCUCUCACCACCCUGUGAGAAAGGUGCCUUUCUUCCCCCUUCACGUGAACUGCCUCCAUGAUUGUAAGCUUCCUGAGGCCUCCCCAGCUAUAAGGAACUGUGAGCCAAUUAAACUGCUUUAUAAAUUAACCCAGGUAUUUCUCGGGUAUUUCUUCAUAGCAGCGUGAGAAUGGACUGAUACACCCCCAAUGUGGAGUAGGGGAAGCUGAGGGAGUUAGGAGGUCCCAGCAAGGUGAAGGUGUGAUGGGGUCUUGGGACAGUGAGAGUGCUGCCUCAGGCAACAGUGGGCAGGUCAUUGAGGCUCCAUUGAGCUUGGUGAGCAGGAAGCUGAGAGAGGGAGCUGUCGAUUCAGGAGUCAGGGGUGACAUGGAAGGAACCUAGGGCUUUGCCAGGCACAGGUGAAGGAAGGCCACUUAGGUACUGGCAGUGGGAAGAGAGGGCAGGGAGUGGUGGACGGAGAGGAAGAGAAAGCUGAAC